rnacentral:rRNA from 1 species
UUGCCAGCAGCCGCGGUAAUACGGAAGGUCCGGGCGCUUAUCCGGAUUUAUUGGGUUUAAAGGGAGCGUAGGCGGGAUGCCAAGCGUGCUGUGAAAAGUCGGCGCUCAACGCGUCCGUGCAGCGCGAACUGGCUUCCUUGAGUGCGCGGAAGGUACGCGGAAUUCGUGGUGUAGCGGUGAAAUGCUAGAUAUCACGAGAACCCCGAUUGCGAAGGCAGCGUGCCGCAGCGUUACUGACGCUGAAGCUCGAAGGUGCGGGUAUCGAACAGGAUUAGAUACCCUGGUAGUCCGCACGGUAAACGAUGGAUGCCCGUGUGGCCCUUUAGGGUGCGCGGCCAAGCGAAAGCGUUAAGCAUCCCACCUGGGGAGUACGCCGGCAACGGUGAAACUCAAAGGAAUUGACGGGGGCCCGCACAAGCGGAGGAACAUGUGGUUUAAUUCGAUGAUACGCGAGGAACCUUACCCGGGCUUGAACUGCGGAGGCCGCGCCUGGAGACGGGCGUUCCCUUUCGGGGCCUCCGCGGAGGUGCUGCAUGGUUGUCGUCAGCUCGUGCCGUGAGGUGUCGGCUUAAGUGCAUAACGAGCGCAACCCCUCUCCGUAGUUGCCAUCGGGUUAUGCCGGGCACUCUGCGGACACUGCCACCGCAAGGUGCGAGGAAGGUGGGGAUGACGUCAAAUCAGCACGGCCCUUACGUCCGGGGCUACACACGUGUUACAAUGGGGCGUACAGAAAGCCGGCCGUCGCGAGGGCGGCCCAAUCCUCAAAGCGCCCCUCAGUUCGGACUGGGGUCUGCAACCCGACCCCACGAAGCUGGAUUCGCUAGUAAUCGCGCAUCAGCCAUGGCGCGGUGAAUACGUUCCCGGGCCUUGUACACACCGCCCGU